rnacentral:rRNA from 1 species
CCUACGGGAGGCAGCAGUGAGGAAUAUUGGUCAAUGGACGAGAGUCUGAACCAGCCAAGUAGCGUGAAGGAUGACUGCCCUAUGGGUUGUAAACUUCUUUUAUAAAGGAAUAAAACGAGGCACGUGUGCCUUUUUGCAUGUACUUUAUGAAUAAGGAUCGGCUAACUCCGUGCCAGCAGCCGCGGUAAUACGGAGGAUCCGAGCGUUAUCCGGAUUUAUUGGGUUUAAAGGGAGCGUAGAUGGGUUGUUAAGUCAGUUGUGAAAGUUUGCGGCUCAACCGUAAAAUUGCAAUUGAUACUGGCAGUCUAGAGUACAGUUGAGGUAGGCGGAAUUCGUGGUGUAGCGGUGAAAUGCUUAGAUAUCACGAAGAACCCCGAUUGCGAAGGCAGCUUACUAAGCUGUGACUGACAUUGAUGCUCGAAAGUGUGGGUAUCAAACAGGAUUAGAUACCCUUGUAGUC